rnacentral:rRNA from 1 species
AGAGUUUGAUCCUGGCUCAGAACGAACGCUGGCGGCAUGCCUAAUACAUGCAAGUCGAACGAGACCUUCGGGUCUAGUGGCGCACGGGUGCGUAACGCGUGGGAAUCUGCCCUUGGGUUCGGAAUAACUUCGGGAAACUGAAGCUAAUACCGGAUGAUGACGAAAGUCCAAAGAUUUAUCGCCCAGGGAUGAGCCCGCGUAGGAUUAGCUAGUUGGUGAGGUAAAGGCUCACCAAGGCAACGAUCCUUAGCUGGUCUGAGAGGAUGAUCAGCCACACUGGGACUGAGACACGGCCCAGACUCCUACGGGAGGCAGCAGUAGGGAAUAUUGGACAAUGGGCGAAAGCCUGAUCCAGCAAUGCCGCGUGAGUGAUGAAGGCCUUAGGGUUGUAAAGCUCUUUUACCCGAGAUGAUAAUGACAGUACCGGGAGAAUAAGCACCGGCUAACUCCGUGCCAGCAGCCGCGGUAAUACGGAGGGUGCAAGCGUUGUUCGGAAUUAUUGGGCGUAAAGCGCGUGUAGGCGGUUUGUUAAGUCUGGUGUGAAAGCCCUGGGCUCAACCUGGGAAGUGCAUUGGAUACUGGCAAACUUGAGUACGGGAGAGGAUAGUGGAAUUUCGAGUGUAGGGGUGAAAUCCGUAGAUAUUCGAAGGAACACCGGUGGCGAAGGCGGCUAUCUGGACCGAUACUGACGCUGAGACGCGAAAGCGUGGGGAGCAAACAGGAUUAGAUACCCUAGUAGUCCACGCUGUAAACGAUGAAUACUAAGUGUUGGAGAAAUUCAGUGCUGCAGUUAACGCAAUAAGUAUUCCGCCUGGGGAGUAUGCACGCAAGUGUGAAACUCAAAGGAAUUGACGGGACCCCGCACAAGCGGUGGAUUAUGUUGUUUAAUUCGACGCAACGCGAAGAACCUUACCAGGCCUUGACAUACUCAGCAAAACCCUAGAGAUAGGGUGGAGGUUAUCUGGGAUACAGGUGGUGCAUGGUUGUCGUCAGCUCGUGUCGUGAGAUGUUGGGUUAAGUCCCGCAACGAGCGCAACCCUUGUCUUUAGUUACCAUCAUUCAGUUGGGGACUCUAGAGAGACUGCCGGUGAUAAACCGGAGGAAGGUGGGGAUGACGUCAAAUCAUCAUGCCCCUUAUGGCCUGGGCUACAAACGUAAUACAAUGGCGUAUACAAAGGGAUGCGAAAGGGUGACCUGGAGCAAAACUCACAAAGUACGUCUCAGUUCAGAUUGGAGUCUGCAACUCGACUCCAUGAAGGCGGAAUCGCUAGUAAUCGCGGAUCAGCAAGCCGCGGUGAGUACGUUCUCGGGGUUUCUACACACCGCCCCUCAAA